UACAGAGGGUGCGAGCGUUAAUCGGAAUUACUGGGCGUAAAGGGCGCGUAGGCGGUUGAUUAAGUUAGGUGUGAAAUCCCCGGGCUUAACCUGGGAAUUGCAUUUAAGACUGGUUGACUGGAGUAGAGUAGAGGGAAGUGGAAUUUCCGGUGUAGCGGUGAAAUGCGUAGAUAUCGGAAAGAACAUCAGUGGCGAAGGCGGCUUUCUGGACUCAUACUGACGCUGAGGCGCGAAAGCGUGGGGAGCAAACAGG
rnacentral:rRNA from 1 species